AUUGUUCCACAGCUGCACCUUGCAAAAAUCUGAUCUUGCCCAUGGAAUUGAAGCUUGGGAAGCAAAAUACCCAUUUGGAUUUUCUACGCAUCUGAUAAAUUCCCAUUCAGCAGGUAAGAUUGGAACAACGAGAGAAAAACUUAGAUCCGGGAGAAUUAAUCAUUACAUGCUACAAUCAAGUUACAGGUCAGGUGAAAGUGUGGACAAGCCCUUCGUGAGCAUCCAAUGAACUACAAAGCGGAAGAGGAGCAUUGCAUGGGUCUGUGAACUUGUUCUGCCUCAGUGCAUUGGGAAUGCCAAAUUGUAGUUUCCUCUUUGAGAUUAUUAUAAAUACUUUCAAAGUACAGUGUGGGAGUGUGGCUGACAUGCAAAAACUUCUGUCAACAGAGUGAAGGAAGAAACCCAUACAGACAAAGGGCCAGGAUCAGCCUUCUGGGAAUGGGAGAAAUCUGUGAACACAGAGUUCACUUCUAGUUUUACAGCACUCUAAGAAAUAGGUAGUCAGAGAGAUGCUAAGAGAGUAUACUUCACACACACACACACACACACACACACACACACCAAUCAUUACAAAACCAAAAUGGCACCACCCAGGAAAACAAGCGAUGUGACAUAAUGUUCAUAGAACUUCAAGGUUUACAGAAAUAGAAAAAAGAAAUAUUGAGAAAACAAUUCCUAUGGGGAUAAAAUUGCUAAUUGGGUGCUAAUUUGCUACUAAAACAGGUUCAAGAUCCUUGGGAUCCUAGGGUCACAAAGCCCUAAACAACUGGGGCACAUAAGGGCUGCUGGAUUCCUUAUUCUCCACAUCAGUCCCUGGUGAGGCACUUUUAGUGCUCCCCUGAGGCUUAGUCGGGGUCCAUGUCUUUAAUGUGGCAGGUCCUGCCCUGUGGAACUCCCUGCCAAUAGAUGUCCAGCAGGAGUCAUCCUUGCUUUCUUUUAGACUUAUUUUUAAAAACAUACUGUUCAGACAGAAAUUUUGAUUUUGACAUUUUUAACAACAUGUUACUGAAGUUUUUUUAACUAGUCACUCUUGCAUUAUGUUUUUAUGUUGUGUGCUGCCUUGCUAUAUUUCCUAUGAAA
rnacentral:lncRNA from 1 species